UACGGGGGGAGCAAGCGUUGUUCGGAUUUACUGGGCGUAAAGGGCGCGUAGGCGGUCGUGACAAGUCACUUGUGAAAUCUCCGGGCUUAACUCGGAACGGUCAAGUGAUACUGUCGGACUAGAGUACAGAAGGGGCAACUGGAAUUCUCGGUGUAGCGGUGAAAUGCGUAGAUAUCGAGAGGAACACCUGCGGCGAAGGCGGGUUGCUGGGCUGAUGACUGACGCUGAGGCGCGAAAGCCAGGGGAGCGAACGGGGAUUAGAACCGUACGU
rnacentral:rRNA from 1 species